rnacentral:tRNA from 2 species
GGGGGAAUAGCUCAGUGGUAGAGCGCUGGAUUCCAGUCCCAGCGGUCGGGGGUUCGAUCCCCUCUUUUCUCA